rnacentral:lncRNA from 1 species
CCUGGCAACCGCCCCGUCUGAGAAGUGAGGAGCCCCUCCGCCUGGCAGCCACCCUGUCUGAGAAGAACAGGAUUCAUCACUCGGUGUUUGAUGUGAAGUCCCUUCAGCUCUCCAAGCCCCAGUGUCCUCGUGAAUCAAGCGGAGAUCAUCUUAAAGCCCUCAACAGGGACAAGUGUGAAGGAACCAGUAAGAGAAUGCUGAGAUCAGAAGCCUGGAUCCUGCCCAGCCCCAUCCCCGAUGGUCUCAUGCCAACCGUCAGGACCCAACGUUAUCCAGAGACUGGGCUCUAACCACAGCCUGGACUCCUCUAACCCUGGGCCCAGCCACAACCACUCUAGGACUUCUGCUUUGGAAAACAGAAAGCUCAAGCCCCCGAAAAUAAAAGUCCUGGAAAUGUUCCCAGUUAGCAGACACUAGGUCUCCCCUAGUGACACAGAGAGAAGAGAAACAAACAGGCACUAGGAGGGAUUGAGGUGGUCCCUCUGUCCCCCACACACUCCUUCACCCACUGGGCAGCUGCAGCAAUGCUCUCUGUCUUGGUGAUGUCCAUGGUCACCGUCUCCAGCCUGUCUGAAGUCUGGCCCCUCAGCUGCUUGGUCCCCUUCUCUGUCCUACAUGCAGCUCCCGCAAGCCUGUGCAUUCAGUUGUCUGGCCAGUAGCUUCCUGAAGCGUGAGUCACAGCUCAUGAUGAACACGUACUUGUCUCUCAGGUGACUCACCACCUGCCUCUCCCAGUACCAGUGCAGAAGGUAGUAUAGGCCCAGGAGGACCGCCAGGUAGAGCCACAUGGCUUUGCAGAGGACAGACCCAGACGGGCUGGGGUGAAGUGAGAGUCUGGCCUCUGUUCAGACAGGAGGACUUAAGAACACAGAGGGCUGAGGUAGGCAGGGAAGCCCUCAGGCAUUUUGGCAGAAAGUCCUCACUUUCCUCUCUGAUCACUGUCUUUCUGCACCAUUUUUUAUCCUGGCUUCAUCUCUCUGCUCUUUCAACUGCCUUUGCAGGUGUUCAUGCAUGCAACUGCAAACCCCAAGCUCUGCCCAGUGAGUAGUUAUCACUACUCAGCAAUGCUUCCCUAGUCCACCAAUGCCUCUCUGCCUUGCUGUGCCUACUCAGGUGUCCACACAGGGGCCCACACACACACACCAUGAAACACACCACUCUGAUCUACAAACAAGGGUCAGAACUUGUCUCUACAUAUCUUGUGAUAUGGUUUGGAUAUUUGUGCCACCAAAAUUGCAUGUUGAAAUGCGUUCCCCAAUAUUGGAGGCAGGAGCUGGUGGGAGGUGUUGGGUCAUGGUAGUGGAUCCCUCAUGGCUUGGUGCUGUCCUGGAGACACUGGAAUGAGUUGUGAUGGGAUCUGGUUGUUUAAAAGUGUGGCACCUCCCCAGCUCUCUCUUUCUUGCUCCCACUUGCCAUGUGACAAAUCAGCUCCCCCUUUGACUUCUGCAGUGAUUAUAAGCUUCCUGAUGCCUCACCAGGAGCCAAGCAGAUGCAUGCUUGUACAGCCUGCAGAACCAUGAGCCAAUUAAACCUGUUUUCUUUAUAAAUUACCCAGUCUCAGGUAUUUAUUAUAGCAACACAAGAACGGCCUAACACACAUUGUAUACCAACACUCCUGGACCAUGGUCUCCCAGAAAACAGACUUU